AAAAAAGCAUGCCCACGGCGCAGCCCAUGCCCAAGAAUCUUAAAAAGCAUGCCCACUGCCCAGCCCAUGCCCAAGGCCCACAUAGGAAAUUUUCGCUAAAAAUGUGAAAAUUGUCAAUCUGAGGCGAAACCGAUACAUUGUUAGUGCA